rnacentral:tRNA from 1 species
GGGGUUGUGGCUCAGUGUUAGAGCACUCGCCUACCCUGCGUGAGGCACUGGGUUCAAUUCUCAGCACCA